rnacentral:sRNA from 19 species
UAUUAAAAAACGCCUAAUUUCUAUUGAAAGCGGGGGAACCAGUUAUUAUGGGGUGAACUACCAGUGUGUAGCGGGCUAACUUUCUGUCCGAACCCGUCAGCUAACUCCGUAGGCGUAGAAAGUGGGGAAAU